GAGGUAAGGUGGAUUAUGUUAAUAGCAUAUUCAUUUGACGUUAGCUGCAGAAGAAGCACCGGCUAACUCCGUGCCAGCAGCCGCGGUAAUACGGAGGGUGCGAGCGUUAAUCGGAAUUACUGGGCGUAAAGCGCAUGCAGGUGGUUUGUUAAGUCAGAUGUGAAAGCCCGGGGCUCAACCUCGGAAUUUGCAUUUGAAACUGGCAAACUAGAGUACUGUAGAGGGGGUAGAAUUUCAGGUGUAGCGGUGAAAUGCGUAGAGAUCUGAAGGAAUACCGGUGGCGAAGGCGGCCCCCUGGACAGAUACUGACACUCAGAUGCGAAAGCGUGGGGAGCAAACAGGAUUAGAUACCCUGGUCG
rnacentral:rRNA from 1 species